UACAGAGGUCUCAAGCGUUGUUCGGAUUCAUUGGGCGUAAAGGGUGCGUAGGCGGCGCGGUAAGUCGGGUGUGAAAUCUUGGAGCUUAACUCCGAAACUGCAUUCGAUACGUCGCCGUGCUUGAGGACUGGAGAGGAGACUGGAAUUUACGGUGUAGCGGUGAAAUGCGUAGAUAUCGUAAGGAAGACCAGUGGCGAAGGCGGGUCUCUGGACAGUUCCUGACGCUGAGGCACGAAGGUCAGGGGAGCAAACGGG
rnacentral:rRNA from 1 species